rnacentral:misc_RNA from 1 species
GUGAAUCAUCAAAUUUUUGAACGCAAAUUGCACUCUCCUCGGAGAGUAUGCCUGUUUGAGGGUCAGCCUAUAAAAAUCGACAUCGUUGCUGUUUCGCGGUGGCGUUCGUCGGAAAUUGGGUCAUCUUAAAUCUUUUGGUUUUAAGCGACUUAAAAUUUUCUUUUUGGUUCCAUGAACGUUUCUAAGAUAUUUACUUCUUACACGUUUAAGGUAUCGAUCUUUAUUAGACGUGGCCGUUGCAUCGGAUCACGUCCAUAAAUAUUUCGUUAACUGACCUCAGACAGGUAAGAACUCCCGCUGA